rnacentral:misc_RNA from 1 species
AACGCACAUUGCGCCUGUUAGCAUUCUAGCAGGCAUGCCUGUCCGAGCGUCAUUUCAAACCUCAAGUCUGACUUUGACUUGGUGUUGGAGCACCAGCGGCAUUUUCGUGCUCAUGGGCUCUGAAAGUCAGUGGCGGACUCACUAGGUCUUUGAGCGCAGUAGUUAUUUUCUCGCUCCCGGAGAUCCUAGAGGGGAUUUUUCUCUCCAGCCAUCAAGCCAUUUCAUUUGAAAUAUCCACUAGUUUGACCUCGGAUCAGGUAGGAAUACCCGCUGAACUUAAGC